rnacentral:tRNA from 1 species
GGGUGCAAUAUUAUUAACUUUGCAAAGGUUAAGAAGAAUUUUAAGAAUUCUGCAUCUU